rnacentral:rRNA from 1 species
GACGAACGCUGGCGGCGUGCUUAACACAUGCAAGUCGAACGCUGAAGCUCAGCUGUUGUUGGGUGGAUGAGUGGCGAACGGGUGAGUAACACGUGAGUAACCUGCCCCCUUCUUUGGGAUAACGCCCGGAAACGGGUGCUAAUACUGGAUAUUCACUGGUCUUCGCAUGGGGGUUGGUGGAAAGGGUUUUUCUGGUGGGGGAUGGGCUCGCGGCCUAUCAGCUUGUUGGUGGGGUGAUGGCCUACCAAGGCUUUGACGGGUAGCCGGCCUGAGAGGGUGACCGGUCACAUUGGGACUGAGAUACGGCCCAGACUCCUACGGGGGGCAGCAGUGGGGAAUAUUGCACAAUGGGCGCAAGCCUGAUGCAGCGACGCCGCGUGAGGGAUGGAGGCCUUCGGGUUGUGAACCUCUUUCGCUCAUGGUCAAGCCGCAACAAUGGUUGUGGUGAGGGUAGUGGGUAAAGAAGCGCCGGCUAACUACGUG